GACGAACGCUGGCGGCGUGCUUAACACAUGCAAGUCGAACGAAAGGACGGGAAGAGCUUGCUCUUUCCGGAAUUGAGUGGCAAACGGGUGAGUAACACGUAAACAACCUGCCUUCAGGAUGGGGACAACAGACGGAAACGACUGCUAAUACCGAAUAAGUUCCAAGAGCCGCAUGGCCCAUGGAAGAAAAGGUGGCCUCUACCUGUAAGCUAUCGCCUGAAGAGGGGUUUGCGUCUGAUUAGCUGGUUGGAGGGGUAACGGCCCACCAAGGCGACGAUCAGUAGCCGGUCUGAGAGGAUGAACGGCCACACUGGAACUGAGACACGGCCCAAACUCCUACGGGAGGCAGCAGUGGGGAAUAUUGCACAAUGGGGGAAACCCUGAUGCAGCGACGCCGCGUGAGUGAAGAAGUAUUUCGGUAUGUAAAGCUCUAUCAGCAGGGAAGAAAGUGACGGUACCUGAAUAAGAAGCCCCGGACUAACUACGUG
rnacentral:rRNA from 1 species